CCCUUAGAUGUUCUGGGCCGCACGCGCGCUACACUGAUGCAUUCAACGAGUUUCUUCCUGGUCCGAGAGGAAUGGGUAACCUUUUGAAAGUGCAUCGUGAUAGGGAUAGACUAUUGCAAUUAUUGGUCUUCAACGAGGAAUUCCUAGUAGACGUAGUUCAUCAGACUGCAUCGAUUACGUCCCUGCCCUUUGUACACACCGCCCGUCGCUCCUACCGAUUGAAUGCUCAGGUGAGGCUUUGGGAUCUGAGCGGAAAGAGCGUUUCGCUGUUUCUGCUCGGAAAACUCAGUCGAACCUUAUCAUUUAGAGGAAGGAGAAGUCGUAACA
rnacentral:rRNA from 1 species